UACAGAGGUGGCAAGCGUUGUUCGGAAUUACUGGGCGUAAAGGGCGAGUAGGCGGCCUUCUAAGUCAGACGUGAAAUCCCCCGGCUUAACCUGGGAACUGCGUCUGAUACUGGGAGGCUUGAGUAUGGGAGAGGGAUGUAGAAUUCCAGGUGUAGCGGUGAAAUGCGUAGAUAUCUGGAGGAACACCAAUAGCGAAGGCAGCUCGCUGGGACGUUACUGACACUAAGGCGCGAAAGCGUGGGGAGCGAACAGG
rnacentral:rRNA from 1 species